rnacentral:rRNA from 1 species
AACGAACGCUGGCGGCAUGCUUAACAAAUGCAAGUCGAACGGAAUAAUUUAGCUUGCUAAAUUAUCUAGGGGCAAACGGGUGAGUAACGCGUGUGAAUCUACCUUGCAGUACGGACUAACAAUUAGAACGGAUCGCUAAUAACGUAUGGACUCUUCGGAGUGAAGAUUUAUCGCUACAAGAUGAGCCCGCGUAAUAUGAGCGAGUUGGUGGGGUAAUGGCCUACUAAGGCAACGAUCUGUAGCUGGUCUGAGAGGACGACGAGCCACACUGGGACUGAGACGCGGCCCAGACUCCUAGGGGAGUCAGCAGUGGGGAAUAUUGGACAAUUGGAGAAAGCCUGAUCCAGAAAUGCCGCGUAAGUGUAGAAGGCCUUAGGGGUAUAAAGUUCUUUUAGGGGGGAAAUUUAUGAUGGUACCCACAGAAAAAGCUCCUGCUAACUCCGUGCCAGCCGCCGCCGUAA